UACGUAGGGUGCGAGCGUUAAUCGGAAUUACUGGGCGUAAAGCGCGCGUAGGCGGACCUGCAAGUCGGGGGUGAAAGCCCGAGGCUCAACCUCGGAACUGCCUUCGAUACUGCGGGUCUCGAGUCCGGGAGAGGUGAGUGGAAUUCCUAGUGUAGAGGUGAAAUUCGUAGAUAUUAGGAAGAACACCAGUGGCGGAAAGGCGGCUCACUGGCCCGGGUACUGACGCUGAGGCGCGAAAGGCGUGGGGAGCAAACAGG
rnacentral:rRNA from 1 species